UGAUAAAAAUAGCUGUCACUACCAACCUUGGUUAGACAGCGCUCCGAAAAGCCAAAUACUUAGACUUAGGAGAUAUUGCUCAGAACUAAGAGACUUCGAUAUACAAGCAGAUUCCCUAAAAAAAAAAUUUGUUUAAAAAAACUACUCUAAAAUAGAACUAGAAAAUACCAUCAGGGACAUCCAAAAAAGAGAUAGAAAUGAACUUCUAAAAUAUAAACCUAAAAUCACAGAUACAGCAAUGCCCUUACCGAUUAUUUUUAACUUUAAUAAUAAGAGUAAUAAUGUAAAAAAGGUUAUAAGAAAACACUGGCACCUUCUGAAACAAGACGAAAUAUUAAAUAAAAUUAUACCUAAGCGCUCAAAUAUUAUUUUUAGGGGAGCCCAAAGUUUUAAGUCUAUAUUAACCAAUAAUUUCACAAGAGAAACCAAAAAGACCCUUUUUCCCACAAAUCAAAGGUUUUUGUAAGUGCAAAAUGUGCAUAGUGUGUAGAAUCACUGACCCUGAUGUUCCUCAUAAAGUAACCGAAUUUGUAUCAAAAAGGACAAACAAGGUUUAUAAAAUAAAUGAUUUUAUUAAUUGUUCUUCGAAAAAUGUGAUGUAUCUGCUUGAAUGCCCCUGUGGCCUCCAAUAUGUUGGAAUGACCACAAGGUGUCUGAAAAUAAGUUUAAGCGAGCACUGCAGAAACAUUAAAAAUGGAUACUUGAAUCAUUCAGUAUCCAAACAUUUUAUUACACAUAAAGACCCAAAAAUUUUGAAAUGUAUUGGUAUAAAAAAUUGAUUCCAUGGAGGGGUGGAAAUAUUAAAAACAUUUUGGGUAGAAAAGAAAUGGAGUGGGUUUAUAAACUUAAAACUCUUGC